rnacentral:rRNA from 1 species
AAUGAACGCUGGCGGCGCGCCUAAUACAUGCAAGUCGAGCGAGAAGACGUAGCAAUACGUUUGUAAAGCGGCGAACGGGUGAGGAAUACAUGGGUAACCUACCCUCGAGUGGGGAAUAACUAGCCGAAAGGUUAGCUAAUACCGCGUACGCUUCUUGGACUUCGGUUCAGGGAGGAAAGCGAUACCGUGGGUAUCGCGCUCUUGGAUGGGCUCAUGUCCUAUCAGCUUGUUGGGAGGUAACGGCUCACCAAGGCUUCGACGGGUAGCUGGUCUGAGAGGACGAUCAGCCACACUGGCACUGCGACACGGGCCAGACUCCUACGGGAGGCAGCAGUAAGGAAUAUUGCGCAAUGGGCGAAAGCCUGACGCAGCGACGCCGCGUGGGGGAUGAAGGUC